UCUAUGUUCUUUAGACAUAUCAAGGUUAAAGUGACCGGUAUGACCGAGUAAAGUUUGUUGCAAAAUAGAGGCUUUACAGGGUCUUAUAUCUGGGAGGUCCGCUGCUCCGAGGAGUGUAGCUUGAGGCCGACCUUUGAUUUUGGGCUUGUCAAAUUUCUCUAUCUGAUGCUUCGGUGAGACGUUUUUUGCUCAUCGACAUUGAG
rnacentral:lncRNA from 1 species